rnacentral:rRNA from 1 species
AUUGAACGCUGGCGGCAGGCCUAACACAUGCAAGUCGAGCGGAGCGGCGAACGGGUGAGUAACGCGUGAGUAACUGCCCCCCUCUCUGGGAUAACAGUUGGAAACGGCUGCGCAUACCGGAUAGUGGGGGAUGAUUCGCGUCCUAUCAGCUUGUUGGUUGGGUGGGGGCCUCCGAAGGCGACGACGGGUAGCCGGCCUGAGAGGGCGACCGGCCAAAUUGGGCUGAGAUACGGCCCAAACGCCUACGGGAGGCAGCAGUGGGGAAUAUUGCACAAUGGGGGAAACCCUGAUGCAGCAACGCGCGUGCGGGAUGACGGCCGUCGGGUUGUAAACCGCUUUCAGCCAUGACGCGGUAGUGGCAGAAGAAGCACCGGCUAACUACGUGCCAGCAGCCGCGGUAAUUC